GAGUCUCAGAUUAGUUUCAAUCCCUACGACCAAAAUUCCUACCUAAAUGGGUCUCAGGGAUCGAAGUGGUAUGCUAUACCUGCUCAUGUUCCUUUCCAACAAGAAUCUUGUAUGUUCACUUUAACAGAUCCUGAGCGAUCCAGAGAGAACAAGCCUGUCAUUAGGAAGCCUUCACCUUUUCCUGCUUCCAAGCAAACCUGUAAAUCUCUGGAUCUUCAUUUAGGCCUUGGCU
rnacentral:misc_RNA from 1 species